GUUUUCGUAGGUGACCUGCGAAAGGAUCAUUAU
rnacentral:rRNA from 5 species